ACAAGGGUGGCACUGCUUCCACUUGUUGAGGCGAAAUGGGCCGGGGUAGAAUCAUGGAAUAGCUUGGUUAGGAAGGGACCUUAAAAGGCCAUUUAGUUUCAGCCCCCUGCCCAUGGAGGGCACCUUCCACUAAAGCAGGUUGCUUAGAGCCCCAGCCAACAUCCUCGGACGCUUCCAGGGAUGAGGCAUCCGCACCUUCUCUGGGAAAGAGGUGGUUUGGAAGUGCUCUUCCACUCACCACAUACUACAAACUCAUUUAGAUUGAAAGGGAAAAUGUCAGUCUUGCAAACUGUUAAGACACGUUUAAUCAUGCGACAAGCCCAGUGCCUUCCACUGGACUGCAAGCACGUAUAAAGAGAAGUCUGUGCAUAACUGUCUUUCCAGGAUGGGAGCUAUAUUUACAGCCUUUUCCAAGCCAGGGAGAUUAUUUUUGAGACUCAACUGCACUACUUUGCUUCCUGGUUCCAGCCAGCUGCGCUUUCUGAAUUUCAUGCAUUUGCACAGAGUUCCUGGGAUAGAAUUCCCAUUGCAGAGCAGCAAGCACAGGUGAGAUGGGUUGCACCCAUCAUCUAGAAGGUGCCCAUAUCCACAAAUGUGGCACUGUUUCUGCCUUUACCCUUUUAGAAACUCAAACUAAUGGAAAUCAUGUUCCUCAGAAAUACUAGGGAAAUUGAAGUCAGCUAGGUUGAUACAACAACUUGGUUAAAACAUGAUUUGAUCUUUGUAAGGUUUUUGGAGAUCACCGUGAAAUAAUCUCUUUGGAAAUUACUGUCAAGUCUUUCUGCCCAGCUAUCUUCUCCCCAGUAAGGCACUUCCAGAAGGAAAGAUGCUCCAUAAGAAGAACAAUACAAUCUGGGCUGUGCGGAGCAGCAAGUCUGUUCCCAGACUAGACUAUGAGAUAAUAAUCGACCAUGAGUAAGGACCAUUGUGUUUAUUCAUGGCUCUGCCUCAGUGAGUGGUGCUGCUGGGCCUAUGGUUAUUACAGCACUCACCUGCUGACUUGCCUGAGCAGCUGUCUUGCCGUGUGGCCAAGUGGGAAGGACCACAGAUCCACUAUUUCACAUUCAUUCUCCUUCCACCCACCUGAAACAACGAGGGAGGUGGGAGCUCUACACAGCUCCAUCCUGACAUCUGAUGCUGUGUGUUGCCUCAUCCCCUCCUUGUACUCUUGUUUCACUGUUUGCUGGGGCACUGUGUCUCUUUCUAAACUAUUGUAUUUGGAACCAAUUACCAAAUCAUGGUGCUAAAAAUACUCCUAACAACCAAGUAAUUAGGAUGUGGGUGGAUGAACUUUUUCUUUACACAGUACUAAUUGCUAAUAAAAGCUUGAACCCGUUCAGAAAACUUGAUAAUAUUCCUAAAGCAGGAAUAUUAUCAGCAAUGCCUAGUUCUCUGCUAGCUUUUUCAAAAAGAGGGACACACGCAUGUGAAACAAUAGUGAACAUGUAAACACAUGUGUGUAUGAGCACACAUACACAAGGAAUUUGCUGACAUCCUGUUUAGAAUAACAGUGACAUGUUUAGAACAAACCAGUGUGACGUAACAUGAAUGAUGUGCAAGGCAAAAAGACUUUACAACGUCACUGAAAUAUUCUUGUUUCAACACAUUGAUUUCCUUUGCAGAGUGAUACUGGGGAAUCAUUCUUCUCAAACCACCAACACAAAACCAGUUUGAAACAGCAGAUCUGGGUUCUCCAGCAUAAUAGAGACAAUACAACCUAUAUGCGAAUAUAAUAUACAUGUUUAACCCUGAUGCAAAAUUGCAUUUCUGGUGGUCAAAGUUAGGCUCAGUGCUUCAAUAAUUGAGCAGGUGAAAAAAAUAAACUAUAACCAAAUUCUA